GCGCCAUCAAUCUCUGCAACUUCCAUACCAGUCACAAUCAUACCUGGAACAACCUCUCUAGUCAAUCUCACAAUCGCAUCUUCAGCCGUGUUCAUGUCCAAAGCUUUCAUCCCAGGAACAUGGUCGAUCAACCCAAUGCUCUUCAACCUCUUCACACCGGUUGCUCCAAAAGGACCGUCGUGACCGCACGAGCUGACAACAAUCUUGGCUUCCAUGACGUUAGGGUCCAUGCAAGACUGUGUGUCGUGGUUCAUCGACACAAGAGCCCAGUUAGUCACCACACCACCGACUCUGUUCCCUUUCACGAUCAGAUCCUCAGCUGCGACGGCGUUGAAGAGCUUCACGUUGGGACGAGCCAAAAGCUUGCUCAUGAUGGUGGAUGUGAAGAGAGCAGCGUGCUUGAUCACAACGUAGUUGUCUUGCUCAUCGUAGGGGACACCAAUCUCGUCAAGGAACAAGUGAGCUGGUUUGCGCAAAUGGCAGAGUCUCAUUGCUGACAGUACUUUUCAUUUUCUUUAAUUAUGUUUGUUGCAGCCUGGUAAAACUCUAAGUGUAAGAAAAUGGCAAGCUGCAUUUACACAGGAAGGGUUCCUCGAUAUGGGAAAGACUCUAAAUCGAAUCCAACGAGGGGUAAAGUCUCAAAAAAACAUUGUUUGCAAACACAAAUGAAUACCUGAUAGUCAGCUUAUAUACCAAAACACCAUUUGCUUGCUUUCUUGACUGGGUAUCUAGGGGAUCCAUCCAACGAUUAGAGGAGAAGUCUGGGAGUUCUUACUUGGUUGUUAUGAUCCAAAGAGCACAUUUGAAGAAAGAGAGCAAAUCCGACAACGUAGAAGGUGAUAUUGUCUUCUUGCAUUCUCUUUGGUGCUAUAUCUUUUUUUUUUUUACUUAGUACUUUCCCUUUUCAGAUCGCAGUAUGCUUCUUGGAAGCAGGAAUGCAAACAAAUGUUUCCAGUCAUCGGAAGUGGUGGUUUCAUUACCGCACCUGUGAUCACCGAGAAGGGUCAACCCAUUCUCGAUCCUCUUGUACUACAAGAAACAAACUUAGGUAACACAAGUUUGUAGGACGUAGUUGAACAUCAUGAUAUGGUAAAACUAAGCAUUUUAAGAUGAUUAUUGAUAGGUGAAGAUUCUGAUUUCUUCAAAGAGCUUGAGAGCAGAGGACCCUUGGACAAGAAAGUUAUCCAAUGGAUGCUAACACUUCACCAGAUAGGUCUUGAUGUAAACCGCACGGAUAGGACAUUGGUGUUCUACGAGAAGAAGGAGAAUCUGUCUAAACUUUGGGACAUUCUAGCUCUUUACGCCUGGAUAGACGAUGACGUUGGGUAUUGCCAAGGUAAAAAGCCUUUAGAUUUAGAGACCGAACAGAGUAUAAGUUGGUUGGUUCUAAUGUUUUCUUGUGAGCAGGGAUGAGUGAUCUUUGUUCUCCUAUGAUUAUGCUUCUUGAAGACGAAGCUGAUGCUUUUUGGUGUUUCGAAAGAUUGAUGCGAAGAUUGGUACGUUUACAUAUGUUGUUUUGCGGUUCAUGUAUGUUUUGUCUUGAGUCUUGACUCUCUCUCUGUCUGUGUAAAGAGAGGAAACUUCAGGAGCACGGGAAGAUCAGUUGGAGUUGAAGCACAGCUUACUCAUUUGGCUUCAAUCACUCAGAUCAUUGACCCCAAACUUCACCACCACUUAGGUAAAAGCUUUCUCACCCUCACUUGUUGCAUAUAAUUAGGCCUGGGAUUUUGAACCGAACCAAACCCGCCGAAUUUUUGAUUAGUUGGGUUCAGUUCNNNNNNNNNNNNNNNNNNNNNCAGGUUUAUAAAAAAAUUUGGUUUUCGGUUCGGUAAUUGGUUAGUUCGGUUUUCCAAACAAAAAAAAAUUGUUAACAAAAUUUCGAACCAAACUAAACGAAUUAACUAAAAUUUCGAACCAAACUAACCAAAACUACCUGAUUUAACCGAAUUUUUAACCAAAAUAUAACUGAAACAAAAAAUUCUGGUUAAUUUCGGUAAAAAACUUAAAUACCGAAUACCGAACCAAACUACCAGAAUUCCGAACUAUCCGACCUGAACCACCCGAACCCCAUGCCUAUAUAUAAUAAUCGUAAUAUGUUGAGCUUAAAGAGAUCUUAUUUUGAAAUGCAGAGAACUUGGGAGGAGGUGACUAUCUCUUUGCUAUCCGUAUGAUAAUGGUACAGUUCAGAAGAGAAUUCUCUUUCUGCGACUCCUUGUAUCUCUGGGAGGUAACGGUUUAGUUCCUCUUUCUAUAAGCUCAGAAUCAUCUAUCUUGGACCGCACGCUAAUAUAGACUGAUAUUAUUUCUGAGCAGAUGAUGUGGGCAUUAGAGUAUGAUCCGGAGAUGUAUUCUCUCUACGAGGAGCCUGAGUUCGAGGGAGAGAAAACUGAAGGCUCCUCCAAAGGCAAACCGAAGUCGAUAAAACAAUGUGGGAAGUACGAGAGGGAGAACAUUAAGAACGGUGGGAAUAGCGCAGAAGGUCCAUUACCUAUUUCGGUUUUCUUAGUGGCUAGUGUUUUGAAAGACAAGAGUUCUAAGCUUAUGACCGAAGCUCGAGGACUUGAUGAUGUUGUUAAGGUAAUGAUGAGAGAUCUCACAGUGUUUUUGUCUCUUUAACAUCUAAAUAAUCUGUUUGUUUUGCUCAGAUCUUAAAUGACAUAACGGGAAACUUGGAUGCUAAGAAAGCUUGUACUGGUGCAAUGAAACUUCACAAGAAAUAUCUAAAAAAGGUUUUAAAGUUUUUCCCUUGUCUCUUAGACUCUUAGAUUUGUUUCUGUCACAAGUUUGUACUGAUCUUACUCACAAUGUAAAUUCUUUAGCUGUAUUUUAAGUCUCUCUAAUCGUUUUCCAUUUUGUUAUUAUAGCAGGCCAAGAAAUAGCAUUGGAGAAGAUUCAUGAGUAGAGCCUUUUUUGUAUAUUGUUUUUUUACGUAUCUGAUAACUCACAAAACCCGGCGACAAAAAGUUAUUUACUGGUCAGAGAUAUAUGAUCCCUUGGGUGGCAAGCAUUCCCUAACUUACACAGCACACAACAACUUUUCGUUCUAAAGUCUUCAUACAAUGAUACAAACCCAUGUUGUAAUAUUUGAUGUGACAAACCCUGUGUUCUUUUUUGAUUUUGUAUUAACAACACAAAGGGAAAAGGUAAAAGCACAGAAAAUUUAUCUUCCUCCUGGAUAACCUCUUUGUAUUUAUAAGUCGGAUUAUGUAAAUAAAGAUGAUUUUUUGUCGUCUUCAGAGAGAACGCUUGAGCCGUCACGUUUUUGUCAGUUAUGAGUGAGCUGCUUGUACUAACAAAACCAAUAAAGGAUCGGAGAAGAACACAACAUAACGAAUGAACAUAACUAACGCAAUUUGACACCAAAGAAACUUUUUCAUUACAAAGAAGCAAAGACACCAGAAAGUUAAAAAACAUAAAUAAGUUUUUAAAACAUCUAAACUCCUCCUUUAUUGCAACCCCUUCCACAUCAGAAGGAUCAAGGGAAAUUUUCUUACCUUGCACUUAAGCAUCUACGGUUUCAGCUGAAUCAGCAGCUGCUAACACCAGCUCCGGGCUUAGGUCUCCGACAUAGGUUCCAUCCAAAGCAUUGGGCUGUCCCAAAGCUUUCAGUGCGAGGUGUCCCGCCUUCUGUCCCGAUAUCAUCAUAGCUCCAAAGGUUGGUCCCUGCAUCACCAAUUCAUCAACUUAAAAACUCUGAAUAUUAUUUAUUAUUAUUAUUUUAUUUUUUUAAACUAUGGAUAUUAAAUCAUAAAUUAGUCAAGGAAAGGGAGACACUCACCAUUCUUGGUGCGCCAUCAAUCUCCGCAACUUCCAUACCGGUCACGAUCAUACCAGGAACGACCUCCCUAGUCAAUCUCACAAUCGCAUCUUCAGCGGUGUUCAUGUCGAGAGCUUUCAUCCCAGGAACAUGGUCGAUCAACCCAAUACUCUUCAACCUCUUCACACCAGUGGCUCCAAAGGGACCGUCGUGACCGCACGAGCUGACAACAAUCUUGGCUUCCAUGACGUUUGGGUCCAUGCAAGACUGUGUGU
rnacentral:lncRNA from 1 species